GAACGCUGGCGGCGUGCUUAACACAUGCAAGUCGAGCGGAAAGGCCCUUCGGGGUACUCGAGCGGCGAACGGGUGAGUAACACGUGAGUAACCUGCCCCUGACUCUGGGAUAAGCCCGGGAAACUGGGUCUAAUACCGGAUACGACACGCUUCCGCAUGGGAUGCGUGUGGAAAGUUUUUUCGGUCGGGGAUGGACUCGCGGCCUAUCAGCUUGUUGGUGGGGUAACGGCCUACCAAGGCGACGACGGGUAGCCGGCCUGAGAGGGCGACCGGCCACACUGGGACUGAGACACGGCCCAGACUCCUACGGGAGGCAGCAGUGGGGAAUAUUGCGCAAUGGGCGGAAGCCUGACGCAGCGACGCCGCGUGGGGGAUGACGGCCUUCGGGUUGUAAACCUCUUUCAGCAGGGACGAAGUUGACGUGUACCUGCAGAAGAAGCGCCGGCUAACUACGUGCCAGCAGCCGCGGUAAUACGUAGGGCGCAAGCGUUGUCCGGAAUUAUUGGGCGUAAAGAGCUCGUAGGUGGCUU
rnacentral:rRNA from 1 species